rnacentral:rRNA from 1 species
CCUACGGGUGGCAGCAGUGGGGGAUAUUGCACAAUGGGGGGAACCCUGAUGCAGCGACGCCGCGUGGGUGAAGGAGCGUUUCGGCGCGUAAAGCCCUAUCGGCAGGGAAGAAGGAGGACGGUACCUGACUAAGAAGCCCCGGCUAACUACGUGCCAGCAGCCGCGGUAAUACGUAGGGGGCAAGCGUUAUCCGGAUUUACUGGGCGUAAAGGGUGCGUAGGUGGUUUGGCAAGUUAGUAGCGUAACUCCAAGGCUCAACCUUGGAACUACUACUAAAACUGUUGGACUUGAGUGCAGGAGGGGCAACCGGAAUUCCUAGUGGAGGGGUGGAAUGCGUAGAUAUUAGGAGGAACACCAGUGGCGAAGGCGGGUUGCUAGACUGUAACUGACACUGAGGCACGAAAGCGUGGGGAGCAAACAGGAUUAGAUACCCGUGUAGUC